rnacentral:rRNA from 1 species
ACUCCUACGGGAGGCAGCAGUGAGGAAUAUUGGACAAUGGGCGAGGGCCUGAUCCAGCCAUGCCGCGUGCAGGAAGAAUGCCCUAUGGGUAGUAAAACUGCUUUUUAUACGGGAAGAAAAUAGGGGCACGCGUGCCCCGUUGACGGUACCGUAAGAAUAAGGACCGGCUAACUCCGUGCCAGCAGCCGCGGUAAUACGGAGGGUCCGAGCGUUAUCCGGAAUCAUUGGGUUUAAAGGGUCCGCAGGCGGGCCGUUAAGUCAGGGGUGAAAGUCUGCGGCUCAACCGUAGAAAUGCCUUUGAUACUGGCGGUCUUGAGUUAUGGCGAAGUGGGCGGAAUAUGUAGUGUAGCGGUGAAAUGCAUAGAUAUUACAUAGAACACCGAUUGCGAAGGCAGCCCACUAGCCAUGGACUGACGCUGAUGGACGAAAGCGUGGGGAGCGAACAGGAUUAGAUACCCUGGUAGGAUAGCG